UAUUCUAGUGUGACAGCCCGUCCCGGAAUUUUAAUUCCGAGGACAUGAAAAGAUGAAAAUGCCCUUAAACGGGACUAAGGGGCGAAAAUUUAACAAUUUGGAUUGAGUUGGACACGUGGGAUCCCCACAUCCCUCAAAACUUUCCCCAAUUCCCGUACCUUGUCUCUCUAUCUCUCUUCCCUCACGACUCUCUCUCACUCUCAGUUCUCUCUCUUCCUCUCCGACGCUCAACCUCACCCAAAACCACCUAAAACAUAAACAAACGUCCAAGAUAAGACCACAUUUGGACUCCUGGAACUUCCACGAUCACGUAGACAUCAAUUUCAGGUAAGUUUUGCUUCGAAAAACCCUAGUUUCAAAGUUCCCGUGAAAUGGUACUGUUCAUGAUCUUCUAAAUGACUACGUUUUAGGCUAAAAAAAGAUCACAGCGGGCUUAGUGAGGUCCCAAGGAAGCUCGGAGUGCUUCGUUGGAAGUUUUUGGACGUAAGAACACGGAGAUUGACAAGUUCAAAGUUUGGCCGGAGCUUUCGAGGAAUUUUCCGGCGAAUCCCCGGCGAGUUAGGAGUCGAGGUAGGUAUCAAUCUCUUCGUCUCGUCAAGUACUACAACUUUCCUUUUUGUUUCACUCAAUUUCGUUGAGUAUUGAAGAAGUUAUACUCAUUUGAAAAAUACCCAGUUUCCGGCGACCUCCGAGGCUUUCGAGGCAUUUUCCGGAAAAAAUACGGCUAACUAGGUGUUUUGCAAGGUACCAUUCUCUUUGUCUUUUCAAGGGCUACAACUUUCGUUUUUGAAUCACUUGAUUUCGUUGAGAAAUGACAAAGUUAUGGCAAUUUGAAAAACUGCCCAGAAAACGGCCGCCGGAAAAACCAGUCCGGCGACCCAAGGAAGAAGAAGGUGCUACAGUAAAAAUAAAAAAAUAAAAAUAAAAUUAUUUUAAAAAUAUGUCGACGUCCGUGACGUCGAGUAGAUCACUGUGGUAUAUUCAUAUACCUAAAUUGAACACCGUAUGAGAAAGUUAUUGAAGAUUGUUGGUUAGGUGUUCAAAUAACGUUUUAUAGUUUUCACAUUUAGGUGAAAAUGUGAAUUGAUGAUCCGACCGUUGGAUCGUCACCAAACUUUGAUACGUUGUAAUACGUAAUAUUUGAGGAUUAUUGGAACUUACGGAUUGGGAAUCCGAGUUACGGAUCUUCCGGAAUUGGAAUUGUAAGUCCAUAAUAUAAAAUGUUAACCGUCACUUAGUUUUGGAAAUUGACGGAGAUCCGACCGUUGGAUGGUAAUGAAAUUUUAGGAUGUUGUCCUAGAGGUAUAAUGUGAACCUCUGGAAGUUAUGGAUUUAAAAUCUGAGGGGUGGAUCUUCCGGAUCAAUCUACGUAGUGACGUAUUUUAUAUAAGUUAUAUAUUUUAUCGAUAUGAAUUCUGAGGUUGGAAUUGAUUAUUGUUUUAGGCGCCGAUCGUCAUGACGCCUUGGCGUAUUGUGCUAGGGAGUUGUAGGGCGAACUCCAGGUGAGUGGGCAGUUUUGUUUUCCGUAUAUAUAUAUACUUGACGUUUCCCAGAAAUUGAAUUGAAAUGAAAAUAUGUUUAAAAUGAAAUGCAUAUGAGUUAUGUGGAAAAACGGGAAGUGAAAUACCAUGCAUAGAAUUGAUAUGAAAAGUAUAUAGAAAUGUGAGUUGAAAUGCCAUGCAUGAAUUAAUAUAUGAUGCAUAUGUAUGAAUUGGUGCGGUGGACGCACAAGUAAGAAUUGAUUUAUGAUGCAUAUGUAUGAAAUGGUGCGGUGGACGCACAUGUGAGUAUUUAAUUACUGUUAUGAUGAUGAUGAUAUAUAUUGAGCUCAAAUCCUGCACCAUGGUUUAGUGCUUAUAGUAUUCACCGCAUCGCACGCUCGCCUUGGAUCCAAGUAGAUGCUAGUCGUACAGUCCACGCGGAGUGGGUACGACAGACCAGUCGCGAGAGUGUUAGUGAGAUUCCGACUGGUGGGUGACCUUAGAUUAUGUGCACAGAUGAUUUAUGAGAAGCACUAGAGCGUAACUUGUGUGCAGAAGGCCGGACGGGUCACAGAGGUGACUCCGGUAGAGUGAUAAUGAUAGAUUUUGAGCUCUAGGUUCAACCGUACAGGGCUAUUAGAGGGCCUCCGGUUGAUUACUUUCUUGCACCUGAUAUGAUUAUUGUUGAUGCAUCCAUACUUAACUGUUGAAUUAGACAUGGCAUGGCAUGAUUGAUAAAAAAAAAUGUUGAGUUAAUGAAUUAAAGUAUUGAGAAUAUAUAUGUAUAAUUAUAUUUUACAUUUCUGGGAAAAUAUACAGGUUUUACGGAGAGGGGUUACAACGUUUUGAAAAAUGUUUGGAUUUGGAAAAGAAUUGUUUUACUGACCCACUCAAUUUUGGUUUUGCGCCCCUCCAGGUUCAGGAAUCACAAAGGUGUGGUGACUACGAGGAAUUCGACGGUGUUCUGACAGAUUGGACAAAAUUAGGACUCACCUUCGGGUGUAUCAAUUUAAAUUGUAUCUUAAAGCUUCCGUACUGUGCAAAUGGUUACGUCACUCUCACGUGACGGCCAGCAUGCCCUCCUUCGGGACGGGGUGUGUCACUAGCGUCA
rnacentral:lncRNA from 1 species